rfam:Pteropus vampyrus cont1.195256, whole genome shotgun sequence.
AAAUCAAAGUCCAACCCCAGCAUUAGCCACGGGGUAAGUGUUCCUCUUGAGGAAGGCAGGGAUUCCUCUUCUGCACCUGAUGGC